UUCUGUUCUUUACUAUAGUUUCAACCAGUUUGCCUGGUACUAAAGGUAGGCUCACUGGCCUGUAAUUGCCACAAUUGCCUCUGAAACCUUUUUUAAAACCUCAGUGUCACAUUAGUCACCUAGUACUGAGGCUGAUUUCAGCCAUUCGUUACAUGCCACUCUUAGUAAUUCUGUAAUUUCAUAUUUAAGUUCCUUCAGAACUCUUGGGUGAAUACUGUCUGGCCCUAGUGACUUAUUACUGUUUAAUUUAUCAGUUUGUUCCAACACCUCCUCUACCAACACCUCAAUCUGAGAGAGUUCCUCAGAUUUUGUCACCUAAAAUGAAUGGCUCAGAGUUGAAGGGCUCUCUCA